UUGGAGGGCAAGUCUGGUGCCAGCAGCCGCGGUAAUUCCAGCUCCAAUAGCGUAUAUUAAAGUUGUUGCAGUUAAAAAGCUCGUAGUUGGAUUUCGGGAUCAAAUAAUCGGUCGUGCCUCCGGUACGUACUGGUUUUAUUGGUUCCUCCCUUCUGACGAACCAUGAUGUCAUUAAUUUGAUGUGGUGGAGAAUCAGGACUGUUACCUUGAAAAAAUUAGAGUGUUUAAAGCAGGCUAACGCUUGAAUACAUUAGCAUGGAAUAAUGAAAUAGGACGUUCGACCCUAUUUUGUUGGUUUCUAGGAUCGACGUAAUGAUUAAUAGGGAUAGUUGGGGGCAUUAGUAUUCAAUUGUCAGAGGUGAAAUUCUUGGAUUUAUUGAAGACUAACUACUGCGAAAGCAUUUGCCAAGGAUGUUUUCAUUAAUCAAGAACGAAAGUUAGGGGAUCGAAGACGAUCAGAUACCGUCGUAGUCUUAACCAUAAACUAUGCCGACUAGGGAUCGGAUGAUGUUAAUUUUUUAAUGACCCAUUCGGCGCCUUACGGGAAAC
rnacentral:rRNA from 1 species